rnacentral:rRNA from 1 species
GACGAACGCUGGCGGCGUGCUUAACACAUGCAAGUCGAACGGAAAGGCUCCAGCUUGCUGGAGUACUCGAGUGGCGAACGGGUGAGUAACACGUGGGUAAUCUGCCCUGAACUCUGGGAUAAGCCUGGGAAACUGGGUCUAAUACUGGAUAUGACCUUUCUCCUUAUGGGGUUUGGUGGAAAGUUUUUCGGUGUAGGAUGAGCCCGCGGCCUAUCAGCUUGUUGGUGGGGUGAUGGCCUACCAAGGCGACGCGGGGUAGCCGGCCUGAGAGGGUGAGCGGCCCCAUUGGGACUGAGAUACGGCCCAGAAGCCUACGGGAGGCAGCAGUGGGGAAUAUUGCGCAAUGGGGGGAAGGCUGAUGCAGCGACGCCGCGUGAGGGAUGACGGCCUUCGGGUUGUAAACCUCUUUCAGCAGGGACGAAGCGUAAGUGACGGUACCUGCAGAAGAAGCACCGGCUAACUAUGUG